GGAUGUGAGGGCGACCUGGCUGUAACAUCUGUCUCCCAUUGUUCGCCAGGGUAGAUUCACCUGAUCUGGCUGGCUAGGCGAUGUCCCCUUUCUCCCUUACUGCUCCAUGUGAGUCCCUCCCGAAGCUGUGUGCUGGGUGGAAGAGGAUGACCUUCCCAGAUAGAGGAGGACCAUUCUUCAGUCAAAGGUAUACGAGUAGCUGCACUCCCCUGCUAGAACCAACAAACAAGCCUCAACUCAUGUGAUUCUAAAACAUAAUUCACUGGGAAAUCAAAUACUAAAAUAAAGGUAAAUCUCCUAAG
rnacentral:snRNA from 1 species